rnacentral:rRNA from 1 species
CAGUAGCCGCGGUAAUACAUAGGGUGCGAGCGUUAAUCGGAUUUACUGGGCGUAAAGCGUGCGUAGGCGGCUUCUUAAGUCGGAUGUGAAAUCCCUGAGCUUAACUUAGGAAUUGCAUUCGAUACUGGGAAGCUAGAGUAUGGGAGAGGAUGGUAGAAUUCCAGGUGUAGCGGUGAAAUGCGUAGAGAUCUGGAGGAAUACCGAUGGCGAAGGCAGCCAUCUGGCCUAAUACUGACGCUGAGGUACGAAAGCAUGGGGAGCAAACAGGAUUAGAUACCCGGGUAGUCCCUGUCUCUUAUAA